AGGGAGAGUUCAGUGCUGACCGAGCCGGCGGCGCAUCGGGGAGCGCAUCUGAGACACGAGACUGACCCGUUCAGAGUCAAUUCUCCAGGUCAAACAUCAAGAGGCAAUGGACAACCUGCACCAACUGUUGUGCUACAUUUGGACUUGGAAGUGCUACAGAUCAGCACAUGAGUAUGUGCAGCCUUCAUUUAUAAAGUGCACUCUACAGAAUGAGACAGCUGGAAAAAAGAACUACAAAGGGAAGUGAAGUCUGCUGCUGGAGGACACUGCAGGACACACUGGGAGUGACAAUCAACAUGAAGCAGGGAAAUGCACAGGGAGUGACUGGACAAGGAGCAUGCUGCGUGGUGUUAAUUGUCCCACUAACAACUGCCCCAUCCAAGCAAAGCUGUUGGAUUUCCUGAGGGGCAGGAGCAGAACAAGAAGACAGAAAGCAGGUAACAGGUUAACAAGGAAGAACAAGAUUGCAGCGAUGCCAAAGAAUGAAAAAAGUCAGGUGCUAAAGGAAAUGAGUAACUACAGUGCACAGCUUCUGACAUCCCAACUGAAUCUGUGCUCCUGAAGACAAUCUCAUUAUCCACAACAUGACUUAAAACAAGUUACACAGUUCUGUUAUUUUCCUCUGCAUCUCUACAAACAGCUGUCCAAAAUGCAACACUUAGGAAGAAUAAGGUAAUACUUAGGAAAGUACUACUUGCAUUAGUCAGCUCUGAACCUGUUUGGCCUGAAACACUAAUAUUUCUCCUGGUGAGAAACUUCAAUGGGGAAUAAAAUUCUCCAUGCCUCAC